UACGGGGGGGGCAAGCGUUGUUCGGAAUUACUGGGCGUAAAGGGCUCGUAGGCGGCCAACUAAGUCGGAUGUGAAAUCCCCAGGCUCAACCUGGGAACUGCAUCCGAUACAGGACGGCUUGAAUUCGGGAGAGGGAUGCAGAAUUCCAGGUGUAGCGGUGAAAUGCGUAGAUAUCUGGAGGAACACCGGUGGCGAAGGCGGCAUCCUGGACCGACACUGACACUGAGGAGCGAAAGCCAGGGGAGCAAACGGG
rnacentral:rRNA from 1 species